AAAUUACUUAAUGAAUUUUAUUACAUUUAUAGGUGUACAACAAUCAUCACAACCAAAUUUUACAGCAUUUCCAUCCCAAACCCUCAGUUCAUCCCCCCAUCCCCCAACCUGUCUCAUUCAUUUGGAAACCAUAAGUUUUUCAGUCUGUGAGUCAGUAUCUGUUCUGCAAAGAAGUUCAUUAUGUCCUUUUUUUAGAUUCCACAUGUAAGUGAUAGCAUUUGAUGUUGGUGUCUCAUUGUCUGACUGACUUCACUUAGCAUGAUAAUUUCUAGGUCCAUCCAUGUUGCUGCAAAUGCCGUUAUUUCUUUCCUUUUAAUGGCUGAGUAAUAUUCCAUUGUGUAUAUGUACCACGUCUUCUUAAACCACUCCUCUGUCAAUAGAUAUUUAGGUUGUUUCCAGGUCUUGGCUGGAAGUUCAAUUUUUUAAAAUUAAUUUGAGCAACUGGAGAGAUGAAAAAUAAACAUAAAAUUAAUGGAUGUUCCUCCUAACUAUUUAUCUAGCUCUGCCCUCUAGUUGUUGCAAUGCUUGUCACAUUAAAAAAGGGAAACCUGGAAUUCCUGUCAUGGCUCAGCAGUAAUGAACCUGACUAAUAUCUAUUAGGACUUGGGGCUGAUUCCUGGCCUUGCUUGUGAGUUAAGGAUCUGGCAUUGCUGUGAGCUGUGGUGUAGGUCACAGAUGCAGCUCUGAUUCGAUCUCUAGCCAGGAAACAUCCAUAUGCUGCAAGUGCAGCCCUAAAAAGCCAAAAAAAAAGAACCUGCCAUAUGCCAUAGAUGUGGCCCUAAAAAGACAAAAAUCCCCCCCAAAAAAUAGGAAACAUGGGGAGUUCCUGUUGUGGCUCAGCGGUAUUGAAACCGACUAGUAUCUGUGAGGACAUGGGUUUGACACUUGGCCUUGCCCAGUAAGUUAAGGAUCCAGUGUUGCUAAGAACUGUCCUGUAAGUUGCAGAUGGGGCUUGGAUCCUGUGUUGCUGUGGCUGUGGUGCAGGCUGGCGGCUGCAACUCUGAUUCAACCCCUAGCUUGGGAACUUCCAUAUGCUGUGGGUGCGGCCCAAAAAUACCAAAAAAAAGGGGGGGGGGACUCGUAGGACAAGUAGGAACAAAAGAAACCAUUGAAGAAACCAUUAAAUUAAAUUAAAUUAAAAAAAAAAAAAAAGGAAACCUGGCUGUUGUUUCCCAAGAGCUCAUGGUGUUUAUUUAAGCCACGGAGGAGCACAGAAGAGUCUUAGCUGAGGAGGCGGCUCUACGGCUCACAGGCCCCACGAGCCCUGUGGUCUUGGGACAGACCGACUCCUGCGUGAGGACAGCUGUACUGCAUCCAGGGCUGCUGUGAGGAGGGAUGCGCGAGGGAGUGGCUGACAUUUGCGAGGAAGUCAGUGACUUUCUCAGGUGACACACAAAGCCUCUGCCUUCAGAGCAUGGAAAGGAGGUGGCAGUGAAGAGACUGGGCAGUAGAUUUUCCCCACUGUGAGUCAGUGGAAAAGAAAGCUGAAUGGACAGAGGAGGGCCCCAGCCAUCGAGAACUGUCUGGACAGUGUCCAACUUCGGGGAUCCUUCAGGAGAGUCAUGGUCUAGCAGGUUAGUCUGGGUGCCUGUGGAGCCUGGCUGGAAGUGGGGUGAUGAUGCUAGAUGAUGGGGAAUGGGGGUGAGUGGCGGGACUUAGGGAUGAGGAAGUGGGGGAGGAGCGGGAGUGAGACAGGGGCCACAGGAGUCGAAAGGAAAUCGGGUUUCCACCUGUUCUUUGCCAACGCUCGCCGCACCUCCACAUUUAUCUCCGCUUUUGCCUUUCUCCUCUUGGCUCUUCUGUCUCCCCACCGCACCCCCACAUCAGCCCUAUGUCCUUCUACCCCCCAGGUCCCUGGGUAAAGGAGGCUCAGCCCUCUUCAGCAUGAUGCAGAUGUGCCUAGCAGGUGCACCCUGGGUGAACUUGAUCUGGCUGGUUCUGGCAGGGUCAUAUGCUUGAGAGGCAGGCUGCUCUUUCUUUAGUGUGUGAGUGAGAAAAGCUACUGCUGGUUAGACCUCACAGGAAGCUGGAGCCAAGGGGUAGCACAUGACCUCAGGUGUAGCACAGCCAGUUGGGUGAGAAGAAGAGGUGACACCUCUGGGCUGCUGAGACCGCUUGCUCCUUGUACUCCAGGCCAAGGAAAUCAGGUCACCCUGCCCCCCUCCCUCUGCUGGAUGCUGAGGGACUGACUGCUGCCUAUGGGGAGGUAAAGAAAUAUUCAAGGACAAGCCGGCCAAGGCAAGACACCUGGGCGAGGGUCUCAAACUGGAGGCCCCUAGGACCGUUCCCCGGCAGAUAGGUUUUCUUGGGCCCACACUGGCCCUCUCACUCCCUGUUAUACCUUUCCCCUGUCUACCUCAUGUGUUUGCCCUCUUGGUGUCACCCCUGAGCUCAUGAAUUCACCAACUCCAUUCUAAGCAGGGCAUGAAAUGCAAAGAUGCUCCAAGGCUUCUGACUUCACUGGGGAAACGCACAGGCCAAGAGGGCUGAGCGUGCCAGACCCAGCGUGGGGUGGGGGGGAGACAUGCCAUUUUGGAGUUUGUUUUUUUGUUGUUGCUGUUUUUGUUUUUGACUUUUUAGGGCCCAACUCAAUGCAUAUGGAGGUUCCCAAGCUAAGGGUCGAAUCAGAGUGCGGUCCUAAAAAAAAGGAAAAACAAAACAAACAAAUAAAACCAAUGACAUGCAAAGGUAUCUAAGACAAUGUUAAGUGAAAAGAACAAGUUGUAUAACUGUGCAUCGUAGGAUAUCAUUUGAUCAAAAAAGGAAAAAAACGUAUUUAUUUAUUAAUUUAUGGUUGUACCC
ensembl:lncRNA